GAUCUAAUUCAAGAGGCACCAAGCAGAAUGGUGAGAGUCACCAGAGGUCAGAAGAACCUCUCCACCAGUACAUCCACUGAGACCCCUAUGAACAGACCAACAAAACUGCUGCCAAUUGACGAGCUCUUCCUCUUCCUCAACUACCUGUCAACCGGCUGUACACAAAGGGAGCUUGGUCACAAGUUCAAUAUCCACAGAGCAACAGCAAGCAGAAUAAUUUUGACGUGGUCCAACUUUUUGUAUACUUUGCUCGGAUCGCUCUCCAUCUGGAUGACCAGCAGAUCAGUGAGAGAAAACUGCCCCACAGAUUUCAAUGGGACCUAUGAGAACACCCAGGUCGUCCUUGACUGCACAGAGAUGAGAUGCCAAGCCCCUACCUCCCUUCUGCUUCAAAGUGAGGUAUUCUCCGCCUACAAGUCGCACUGUACCUUCAAAGCACUUAUUGGCAUGUCCCCCCAUGGAGCAUUGACAUUUGUGUCAGCACUUUUUGAAGGCUCCAUCAGUGACAAGGAGAUUUUCCGUCACUCCGGCAUCACCUCUCUCCUAACACCCGACAUGGAGGUUAUGGUAGACAAGGGGUUUUUGAUAGAUGAGCUAGUUUCUGGGAAAGUGCAUCGCCCUGCUUUUAUGCACAAACAGGAGCAAAUGUCAGAGGUAGACAUCCUUAAAACCCAGUCGAUUGCACGCCUGAGAGUCCACGUGGAGAGGCUCAUUAGGAGGGUCAAAGAAAACAAACUUUUUGACACGGUCAUCCCUCUCUCUAUUUGUGGCAGUAUAAAUCAACUGUUCACUGUUGCAUGUCUCCUCUCCAAUUAUCAGUACGGACCCCUGGUCAAGAAAUGGAUGGUCUGAUUUUCUGGUGGCCAGCAAAAUAAACAUGCUAUUUAACCAUACUCCAUACUGUUUUUUUUAUUUUUUUAAGUGAUUUGUUGUUACUCUUUAAAUAAAACUGUUUUACUUCAUAAAUGUAGUC